AGACUUGAGCAGAAAUCCUGAAAAGUGAGACCCUUUGGAGUUAGUGUGAAGACAGGAUGUGUCACAAUUCUGUGAUAAAAUGAUUCCAAAAAGAUUCACUUUUUUGGCUCAUGACUCAAGCACAGUCCACCAGAUUUGGGAAGACAUGACAACAGGAGCUUCAGUAGGCUGCUCACACUGGAUCCACGGUGAGGAGGCAGCAACAGGGGUCUCCAGUCUCUCAGUUCCAGAGAACGCAGCUCCAGCCUGGGAUGGAAAAAUAACCUGGAGGAGGUCAGAGAGCAGAAGCAUGACUUUGGAAACAAAUCCUCAUUCACUCCCCUUGUGAGCUCAUUCAUCAAACUACCGGAUAUAUGUUAAGACUUUAUCUUCUAAGGUCUCACCCAGAACGUAUGCGGCAAAACCAAAAAUAGUGCCUGCAUAUUCAAGGGCAGACGGAAGGAACUGCUGGCUACAGGGAGCAUGGGGCUUUGCACAAUGGCACAGUUCAGCUGCUGAGGCCUUUUGCCGGCCCCCUCCUCUCUCUGACCUGCUGACCUUACUCUUCUGGAGGCCACUGUGGCCAGUGACUCACCCUGAAAAAGUGGUGGAUUAUACUGUCAACCUUGAAACUCUGUUUUCUAAUUCUUCUUCCCUCUGCCGCACUGCUAGGCAUGAGUCCCACCCUCUGUCCUACAUGAGCAAUGGUGGUACAGGGAUGAGCAUGAGUCUAUGGCCAUCCAGGUACAGAACCGUUCCUGAAUGUGGGUAUUAUCCUCAUUCAUCAUUUCCAUCUAGGUGGUAAUGGAGCUCUGGCCUUUACACACCAUGUAUAUCCUAUCUAGAACUGUCAGGGAGAAUGGGGAGUGAGGCUGCCCAAUCCUUUAUCUUCUUGGUGUGAACACCCACUUAACACCUCUGCUUACGGCAGGUUCACAUAAUAAAUCCCCAUCAUGUAGUAUUGGAAUGGCUCUGAUUAGUCGUUGCUUUUUAUUAAAAAAAAAAGUUUUAUUUUC
rnacentral:lncRNA from 1 species